rnacentral:rRNA from 1 species
UGCGCAGGCGGCCCGGAAAGUUGGGUGUGAAAUCCCUCGGCUCAACCGAGGAAUUGCGCCCAAAACUUCCGGGCUAGAGUGAGGCAGAGGUGAGCGGAACUUGCGGUGGAGCGGUGAGAUGCGUUGAUAUCGCAAGGAACACCAGUAGCGAAAGCGGCUCACUGGGCCUUUUCUGACGCUCAUGCACGAAAGCUGGGGAGCGAACG